rnacentral:tRNA from 1 species
GCGCGGGUGGCGAAACAGCAGACGCGCUACUUUGAGGGGGUAGUGGGGGUAACCCCGUGGAGGUGCGAAUCCUCUCCCGCGCA